UAUCAAAAUGCAAUACAUGAAAUUGAUAUAAUGAGCAAUAAUUCAGACACAGAACCUGACAUAGAAUACGUCUCAUCAAAAAAACAGCGCAAUUGCUCUGAUCUUCCACAGCUGUCAUAUGAUAAUAUGGCAGAAGAAAUUUUAAAGAAUAAUGAGCAUAAUGCUUCUUCAGCAAUAAUACCUGAAGAUGGAGAACAAAUAAUGGUGACUAAUUACGAAAUCACGACACCGAAAGAGUCAACUCCAUCUGAAACACCGUUGAGCGCGCCGCAAGAAAAUAUUGAAAAUACAUUGUUAUUCCUGAAAGUAAUCAGUCGGACACACCUAUAAUAUACUCGUACAUUAAUAAAGAAACAAGUUUAUCAGAAGAACAAUGCGAAUUAAAAUCCAUGAAAAUAGAUAUCACCACUAUUAAAAGUGACCUAAAAUCCAUAAAUGACGAUAUGAAGACUAUAAUGGGGACCCUGAACACAACACUAAAUAAUCAAGCCGUAUUACACGAAACACUGAAAUCGAUUUUAUUACAAGUGACUGAAAUACAAGUUACGAACGAAGAAUUCAUUAAAAAAUCUAUUACAGAAAAACAAAACCAUUCGUUGAUGUUAAAACCAAUACAAGAUUUAAAAGAUUUAGAAGAGUUUGAAAAUAAAUUGAUGGAUUCUGAUUAUAGAGAAGAUUUACUAAGAAAGUUUAGUGUGUUUGGCACUAAAGGGACAGGGAAGGGAAUCACAAGAGCAUAUACAAUUAUUGAUAUUUUGUUUGAAAGAAAGUUUUUCAAAUCGUGUUCGUGGACUGGAGCUUCACGUUCCCAAAAUGAAACAACAGAAAAAAUCUGCUUAAAAGGUUUCUCUAAGAUGAUUGGUUUCUUUUUUGAAGUUAUUUAUAAACAAGACUCGUCGUUCCAUUUAACUGACUGUCAUAAUUUUUUUAAAACAAUUUUGCGAAAUGCCGAUCAGCGGGCCAAAUCGAAGCAAUUACGAACUUCCGCAAGUAAAUGCAGAGGAAAAAAUAGCGCCAAAAGGACUUCUUCUGAAAAUCCUACAUCUACACCACAAACCACUGGUAACCAAUUAGAAGUUGAAGAUGUUACAGAGGAAAUUUUUGUCUGAAACUAUUUGAUCUAAUUUUUAUUUGACUAAGUGACUUUUGCAUCAAUAUUAAUUAUAACACGAGAGACAUUAGACUACCCCAAUCUGUCUUUGACAGUUUGGGAUAGUCUGACGUGCUGUCGUCACUCAAAUACAAAUAGAUCAAUAUCCCUAGUAACUAAAUCAAAUCAUUUCAGACAAAAAUUUAGUCUGAUCUGAUUUGCUGAAAUUAUCUUCUAAGUUGUGUAGUUUUAGUAAAUUUUACCAGACUGCGACGAUGCUCAAAAUUAGGGUUAUAUAUUUGACCUGAAUUAAAGAAUAUAAUCUUAUAUUAUAUUAUAAAAAAUAUUUCAAUUUAAAUUUGCCAUAAAGAUGAUUACAUGAUCUUAAUGGCGAAGUUAAAUUGAUAUAUUUUGUUUAACUCGUAAAGUUUUAUUAGUUAUAAGAUUUAUUAGUACAAGGAAGCUAAGAUAAAUUUAAAAUUGUUGCCAGCACAUUAAGCAACCCCAAAAAUCUGACAAAUUUCUUUAAAUGACUUUCAACUUUAUUACACAUAAAACAUUCAUAAUAUAAUAAGGUGCUUAUAUGUUAUGGAUUACGUUCAAUUUUGAAAAUUUGUCAGAUUUUUGAGAUAGGUUGAUGUGCUGGCCGCCGUACAAAGAAGCUUAAAAAUUAAGUUUGUUGAGACUAGUUAUAAGGACUACAAUAGAUGAUUAUAAGAUUGAUUAAAAGAAAAAGAAGAGGCCCAUACCCAGACAUAGGUAAUGUCAGGCUAAAAUGACGAUGAUGAUGAGUGAUUAUUUUAUUAGUCAAACUGAUUAUGAAGACUACAAUAGAUUAUUAUAUGACUGAUUAUGAAGAUGACAAAGAUUAUAAGACUGAUUAUAACGAUUAUAAGACUGAUUAUGAAACUGAUUAUAAAGAUUAUAAGACUGAUUAUAAAGAUUGUAAGACUAAUGUUUAAUUUUGAAUAAAACAUAAUUGUUAUAAA